rnacentral:rRNA from 1 species
GCCGUUCUUAGUUGGUGGAGUGAUUUGUCUGCUUAAUUGCGAUAACGAACGAGACCUUAACCUGCUAAAUAGNCCGUAUUGCUUUGGCAGUACGCUGGCUUCUUAGAGGGACUAUCGGCUCAANCCGAUGGAAGUUUGAGGCAAUAACAGGUCUGUGAUGCCCUUNGAUGUUNUGGGCCGCACGCGCGCUACACUGACAGAGCCAGCGAGUACUCCCUUGGCCGGAAGGCCCGGGUAAUNUUGUUAAACUCUGUCGUGCUGGGGAUAGAGCAUUGCAAUUAUUGCUNUUCAACGAGGAAUCCCUAGUAAGCGCAAGUCAUCAGCUUGCGUUGAUUACGUCCCUGCCCUUUGUACACACCGCCCGUCGCUACUACCGAUUGAAUGGCUCAGUGAGGCUUCCGGACUGGCCCAGAGAGGUCGGCAACGACCACUCAGGGCCGGAAAGCUAUCCAAACUCGGUCAUUUAGAGGAAGUAAAAGUCGUAACAAGGU